rnacentral:rRNA from 1 species
AGUGAACGCUGGCGGUAGGCCUAACACAUGCAAGUCGAACGGCAGCACAGUAAGAGCUUGCUCUUACGGGUGGCGAGUGGCGGACGGGUGAGGAAUACAUCGGAAUCUACUUUUUCGUGGGGGAUAACGUAGGGAAACUUACGCUAAUACCGCAUACGACCUACGGGUGAAAGCAGGGGAUCUUCGGACCUUGCGCGAUUGAAUGAGCCGAUGUCGGAUUAGCUAGUUGGCGGGGUAAAGGCCCACCAAGGCGACGAUCCGUAGCUGGUCUGAGAGGAUGAUCAGCCACACGGGAACUGAGACACGGUCCAGACUCCUACGGGAGGCAGCAGUGGGGAAUAUUGGACAAUGGGCGCAAGCCUGAUCCAGCCAUACCGCGUGGGUGAGGAAGGCCUUCGGGUUGUAAAGCCCUUUUGUUGGGAAAGAAAAGCAGCAGGUUAAUACCCCGCUGUUCUGACGGUACCCAAAGAAUAAGCACCGGCUAACUUCGUG